rnacentral:rRNA from 1 species
AACGAACGCUGGCGGCAUGCCUAACACAUGCAAGUCGAACGAACCCGUCGGGGUUAGAGGCGCACGGGUGCGUAACGCGUGGGAAUCUGCCCUUUGCUUCGGAAUAACAGUUAGAAAUGACUGCUAAUACCGGAUGAUGUCUUCGGACCAGAGAUUUAUCGGCAAGGGAUGAGCCCGCGUAGGAUUAGGUAGUUGGUGUGGUAAAGGCCUACCAAGCCGACGAUCCUUAGCUGGUCUGAGAGGAUGAUCAGCCACACUGGGACUGAGACACGGCCCAGACUCCUACGGGGGGCAGCAGUGGGGAAUAUUGGACAAUGGGCGCAAGCCUGAUCCAGCAAUGCCGCGUGAGUGAUGAAGGCCUUCGGGUCGUAAAGCUCUUUUACCAGGGAUGAUAAUGACAGUACCUGGAGAAUAAGCUCCGGCUAACUCCGUGCCAGCCGCCGCAGUAA